rnacentral:lncRNA from 1 species
AAUCUUCGUUCUAACUCGUUUUCUCUCGAAACUUGACGAGUGCUUUUGCAAUUAAAAUACACGCAAAAACAUCAUCAAUAGAGAGUUUAGCUAAACUGUCAAAAUCUCAGUCCUUAUAUUACAUACAUCAAAUAAGUGAUUUUUAAAAUUCAAUUUUUAAUAUGUGUAUUUACUAUUUUUCUUCAUGUUAUUUCAAAAAUUCUAAUUUUUCACGAAUUCAACUCUGUCAUUUUAUUUUUUUAAUAUAUUUAGAUUUUUUUCUGAAAAAUUUUACUAAUAUUAUGAUAUUUAUCAUUUUACUUAUCUAAUAAAUUAUCUAUAUUGCUAUUGGAGCAAGUACUUUCCAUUUUCAUGCAACAAAGUUUUUUUUUCCUUUAUAUUCUCUUGAAGACCAACAUCUAUAUAUAUUUGAAUCUUGAAAGUUGAUAUGUGUAAUAUACCGAAAAUUCGAAAAAUAAAAGUAUCNAAAGGUAUCGCGCCUUAGUCAGAGGCCACCACAGUUGGGUUCAUUUUGUAGUAAAGUACCCUAUGUUCAUCUUUUUGUACAUGAUGAUUAGUAAUGUAAAGAAAAGAAUGCGAUGUGUAUUUUGAGGUGAAUGUGAUGUAAGGAAGAAAUGAUGUAAUGAAUGUAAGAAUUCGAUAAAUUACUAGAUGAAUGCAAUGUAUAUGAUCUAAAAUGAAUCAUAUUACUUGUGAAUGUUUAGUUUCCUUUUUCUUUCACUUAUGGCUGUUGCUUACCCUCGUGUAAGCCGUUUGUGUAUGAUUCCGCUAGUGCUUUUCUCUAUUGAUGAAAAUGUGCAUGUGAUGAGCCUUGGGCGGAUAGGGGAAACUCUGUCCGUUCGGCGUCUGUUUGACGUGCUCGGGUCGGGCCAAAUUGGCAUCGGUCUCGGGGCGUGACAAUAUGUCUCUCAUAUACGUGUGCUUAAUUACUCUAAUUUGUCUCAAAUAUGAAAGUUUAGUUGAUCUCAUUAUAUACUUAAAUAUUAAUAUUAUUUAUAAAUUUUUAUGUCAAUUUGAGUUCUCCUUUUGUUUUGCACAUCAAUAUGUAAAUUUAGAAUUUCUUUUUUUUUUGAGAGAGAUAGCUAGGUAGCACGCUAUCCGCUUCGUUUAUUUCAUUUAGAAAUAAACUCAGCUGGAAAUGUGAAUCAACUAGGAUUCGAACUUAGGUCUCGGGUAUAUACCAACCACCAAGCCCUUUGCCACUUGCUCUAGGAACUGUCGGUUAAAUUUAGAAUUUCUUAUUUUAUUAUUUA